rnacentral:rRNA from 1 species
AACCGACACAGGUAGUCGAGGAGAGAAUCCUAAGGUGUGCGAGAGAACUCUCGUUAAGGAACUCGGCAAAAUGACCCCGUAACUUCGGGAGAAGGGGUGCUCUAGUAGGGUGAAAGCCCGAGAGAGCCGCAGUGAAUAGGCCCAGGCGACUGUUUAGCAAAAACACAGGUCUCUGCAAAACCGUAAGGUGACGUAUAGGGGCUGACGCCUGCCCGGUGCUGGAAGGUUAAGAGGAGUGCUUAGCGCAAGCGAAGGUGCGAAUUGAAGCCCCAGUAAACGGCGGCCGUAACUAUAACGGUCCUAAG